rnacentral:rRNA from 1 species
CAGAGCUUGCUCUGUGGAUCAGUGGCGAACGGGUGAGUAACACGUGAGCAACCUGCCCCGGACUCUGGGAUAAGCGCUGGAAACGGCGUCUAAUACUGGAUACGAGCAGCGGAGGCAUCUUCAGCUGCUGGAAAGAUUUUUUGGUCUGGGAUGGGCUCGCGGCCUAUCAGCUAGUUGGUGAGGUAACGGCUCACCAAGGCGUCGACGGGUAGCCGGCCUGAGAGGGUGACCGGCCACACUGGGACUGAGACACGGCCCAGACUCCUACGGGAGGCAGCAGUGGGGAAUAUUGCACAAUGGGCGGAAGCCUGAUGCAGCAACGCCGCGUGAGGGAUGACGGCCUUCGGGUUGUAAACCUCUUUUAGCAAGGAAGAAGCGAAAGUGACGGUACUUGCAGAAAAAGCGCCGGCUAACUACGUGCCAGCAGCCGCGGUAAUACGUAGGGCGCAAGCGUUAUCCGGAAUUAUUGGGCGUAAAGAGCUCGUAGGCGGUCUGUCGCGUCUGCUGUGAAAACCCGAGGCUCAACCUCGGGCCUGCAGUGGGUACGGGCAGACUAGAGUGCGGUAGGGGAGAUUGGAAUUCCUGGUGUAGCGGUGGAAUGCGCAGAUAUCAGGAGGAACACCGAUGGCGAAGGCAGAUCUCUGGGCCGUAACUGACGCUGAGGAGCGAAAGGGUGGGGAGCAAACAGGCUUAGAUACCCUGGUAGUCCACCCCGUAAACGUUGGGA